rnacentral:rRNA from 1 species
GACGAACGCUGGCGGCGUGCCUAAUACAUGCAAGUCGAGCGAGCUUGCCUAGAUGAAUUUGGUGCUUGCACCAAAUGAAACUAGAUACAAGCGAGCGGCGGACGGGUGAGUAACACGUGGGUAACCUGCCCAAGAGACUGGGAUAACACCUGGAAACAGAUGCUAAUACCGGAUAACAACACUAGACGCAUGUCUAGAGUUUAAAAGAUGGUUCUGCUAUCACUCUUGGAUGGACCUGCGGUGCAUUAGCUAGUUGGUAAGGUAACGGCUUACCAAGGCAAUGAUGCAUAGCCGAGUUGAGAGACUGAUCGGCCACAUUGGGACUGAGACACGGCCCAAACUCCUACGGGAGGCAGCAGUAGGGAAUCUUCCACAAUGGACGCAAGUCUGAUGGAGCAACGCCGCGUGAGUGAAGAAGGGUUUCGGCUCGUAAAGCUCUGUUGGUAGUGAAGAAAGAUAGAGGUAGUAACUGGCCUUUAUUUGACGGUAAUUACUUAGAAAGUCACGGCUAACUACGUGCCAGCAGCCGCGGUAAUACGUAGGUGGCAAGCGUUGUCCGGAUUUAUUGGGCGUAAAGCGAGUGCAGGCGGUUCAAUAAGUCUGAUGUGAAAGCCUUCGGCUCAACCGGAGAAUUGCAUCAGAAACUGUUGAACUUGAGUGCAGAAGAGGAGAGUGGAACUCCAUGUGUAGCGGUGGAAUGCGUAGAUAUAUGGAAGAACACCAGUGGCGAAGGCGGCUCUCUGGUCUGCA